rnacentral:lncRNA from 1 species
CAUUGCCGGAUUCUCUUUACUUGUAAUAUCUGAUAUCUGUUGGUUUGCUUAUGUUUCUACAGAGCUCUUUGAUCUUAAAGUUGUUGAAGGUGAAACAAUUAGGGAGUGGCUUUUCUUUGAUAAGCCUCGAAGAGCAUUUGAAAGUGGAAAUAGAAAGCAGAGGUCGUUGCCAGAUUACAAUGGACGGGGUUGGCACGAGUCAAGGAAGCAAAUGAUGAAUGAAUUUGGAGGGCUGAAAAGAUCCUACUACAUGGAUCCACAACCGAUGAAAAAUCUGGAAUGGCAUCUUUACGAGUAUGAGAUCAACAAGUACGAUGCAUGUGCCUUGUACAGAUUGGAACUGAAGCUGGUUGAUGGGAAAAAGAUCCCCAAAGGGAAGAUAACUAAUGUAUCAGUUUCUGAUUUGCAAAAGCAAAUGUGAUGCAUAUGCCUUGUACAGAUUGGAACUGAAACUUGUUGAUGGAAAAAAGAUCUCCAAAGGGAAGGUAACCAAUGUAUCAGUUUCUGAUUUGCAAAAGCAAAUGGGAAGACUUACUGCUGAAUUUCCUUUGGACAACAAGCGUACUGU